rnacentral:rRNA from 1 species
GAUGAACGCUGGCGGCGUGCCUAAUACAUGCAAGUCGAGCGAACGGACGAGAAGCUUGCUUCUCUGAUGUUAGCGGCGGACGGGUGAGUAACACGUGGAUAACCUACCUAUAAGACUGGGAUAACUUCGGGAAACCGUAGCUAAUACCGGAUAAUAUAUUGAACCGCAUGGUUCAAAAGUGAAAGACGGUCUUGCUGUCACUUAUAGAUGGAUCCGCGCUGCAUUAGCUAGUUGGUAAGGUAACGGCUUACCAAGGCAACGAUGCAUAGCCGACCUGAGAGGGUGAUCGGCCACACUGGAACUGAGACACGGUCCAGACUCCUACGGGAGGCAGCAGUAGGGAAUCUUCCGCAAUGGGCGAAAGCCUGACGGAGCAACGCCGCGUGAGUGAUGAAGGUCUUCGGAUCGUAAAACUCUGUUAUUAGGGAAGAACAUAUGUGUAAGUAACUGUGCACAUCUUGACGGUACCUAAUCAGAAAGCCACGGCUAACUACGUG